UACGGGGGUGGCAAGCGUUACUCGGAUUUAUUGGGUGUAAAGGACAGGUAGGCGUUCUGCCAAGUUAGAAGUGAAAUCCUAAGGCUUAACCUUAGAACUGCUUCUAAAACUGGCGGAAUUGAGGCUAGAAGAGAAGAGCGGAAUUCCCGGUGUAAGGGUGAAAUCUGUAGAUAUCGGGAGGAACACCAGUGGCGAAAGCGGCUCUUUGGUCUAGAUCUGACGCUAAACUGUGAAAGCUAGGGGAGCAAACAGG
rnacentral:rRNA from 1 species